ensembl:lncRNA
GUAAUAGUUAGCUGAGAUCUUUGGAGAGUUCUGAGCCCCUUUAAUGCGUGGCAUAUGUCAGAGGGAUUCAGCUAAUUCACAUAUCUGUCUGCACUAUUAAUAGAGAAGGUUACAUGCCAAUUAUCCAGGCUUCAAUCAGCCUGUUUGGAUACAAUAGAGGCAGUGUUCACACACUUGAUGUGCCACAUUCCUUGCCGACAUCAGAAGCAGCUGGGCCCGAUAAAGACCUCUGGGAUUCUGAUAUUUGGGGAUCACGUCCACGGAAGAGCAGGAACUGAGACUUGAUUGCUCUGUCGACUCCAGAAACGGGACUAGAAGUGCCGCAAUCUCAUCAGAAAAUGCAGCUUCCGGUGGUAUUUUUCACCAGGAACAGAAGCAGAAGUGUGCAGAAUCACCCGAGAAAGCCCCAGCUCUCCUGAGAGCCGUUCUCGAAUUUUGCUGGCACAGAGCACUGGGAGGUGAAUUGCAAUGUCAGCGCCUGGAAAUUGGGACUCAGACUCCUUAAACUCUCUUCUCACAAGGGUGUCUCUGCCUCCAUCGUUUCUGCACGUGCUAAAGGCAGAAGAAGAGGCAGAGGCUGCUGCGUCUCCUGGCAGGCGGGCCAGUUGGAACAAAGACACCAGCGGGGCCACCUCGGAAAGCAAUCUGGAGAAGUCCCAGCAAACAGCAUUUAGGGGAAGGGGAAAAACGCCUGUGGACCUGAUAAUGCAUCACGUCCCAUUGUUAAGGAGGCAAAAAGCAGAAAUUUACCUUGAAGGCUCAUGGGAGUUUGAUUUCCCUGGAAAGACAUGACCCACAUUUCUCACGGAUUGUGGGUCAAUAUUUGACCAUCUCCUCUUAUUUUCUCAUCUUCGUGUUUAAGAUUUAAAAUACAAGUACUAUGUAAUCUCUUUAAAAGAUUCAAACAGUAUAAAAUUAAGGUAGAGUCAAAGUUCCUCAUUCCUUUUGCUCACCCCCACUGGCUCAUUCACUAGAGAUAGCUAACAAUUACUUUUAACACUGUCAAACAUAUCCUUCCAGACGUGUUCGGUAAGUAUGCAAAUAUAUACAUUUGUGUCCAUAUAUUGUCAAAUAUAUGUAUGUGUCUAUAUAUACACACACAGACGUUCUCUGUUUUAAAUAUUCUACAGGAAUCAUAUUUAUAGACAAUAUUAUACAACUUGGUUUUUUUUUCCACUUAAAAUAUCUAUCAUGGGUAAUUAUCUGCGUCUAUGUGCAUUUUUAAAAACUUAGCUAUAAAGUUUGAGAAAAGUGUAAUUAUGCUCCCCAGGGAGGGGGGCAUUCAGACCAAAGGGCUUGUGGGGAAGGGCGAGGCUCCCCCCACCCCCACAGACAAUCACUGUUAGCAGUUUUUAGUGUAUCAUUCCAGAAAUAGUCUACGCGCAGACCAGCAUAUAUGGAUAUCAAAUAUUCACACCUGUCUUUGUCUUUACCAAGUAUCUUUCACCUGGCGUGUUUCACUCAGGUCUCUUGGAGAGCACUUCACAUUAGAAAAAAUUGACCUUUUAAAUGAUGGUGUCGUACUUCUUUGAAUGGCGCUCCUUAAUGUAUUUCACUCGUCCUUUUAGAUGGACUUUGGGUGGAUUUCAGUUUUUGCUUCUACAAACAGUGCUGCAAUAAAUAGUCGAGUGCACACCCUGUGAGUCUUUGCUCAAACACACUCACCCCUUCCUGAAAGCAACACCUAUACCCCACACCUCUCCUCAAAUUGCGUUAAUCCGAAGAACUGAUUGAAUCAACUUUUUUUUUUUUUAAAAAGAGGGUUUAAAACUGAGUAUUAAUAAUCCAUUAAGAAUCUGUUAUGAAUACGUGCCCCUUCCUGCAGUUUUGAAUCUUUCCUCCAGCUUGAAAGUGAGGCUCAUGAAAAAAAAAGAAAGUCAUUUUUCCCCCCCACGCCCACCCCCGCCCAGGAGUCAGCCAUGCCAAAAUCAUUGCAUUAGCAUCCUGUGCCUGCUUAUUACAAAUGCAGGCUGCACGUUGGGUAAUUCCUUCCCAUCUACUUCUUUCAUCCUGGGCUCAGAGAAAGAUCGCAACUCACUCUUACAACUUAGGUACUGCUCCCUGCUCUUUUCUGUAUGCAAGAGUUGAAGCCAUUGGGGAUUGAGAACAAAGUGUGUCCGUGGAAAGAAGUGGGUGGGAUUUGGUGUAUGCAGGAGGAUGGGGGGGCACCCCCUCCCGGGGGAGGAGUCUGAUUUCAUUAUACAGUUGGAAACCUGAUGAAAUCAUGUACACAACUGAAUCUUUUUGCUCAGCUAGUGAGGUCUUUCUGUUCUUUGUCUUGCUGUGUGUGCAGCAAAUUUCUGUUACGCCCGGGAAGAAGGAAAUUUGAGUUAAAGAGCAGGGCAGCUCCAUAUGCCUUGUAACAAGCAAGCUAAUUGAAAAAUUUAAUUCAGGAAGAGAUGCAACGAGGCCAAAAUGAAAGAGGAACUAGGCCUGUCGAUGUUCAGAGCAGGAAAACCGAAGAAGUUAUCUCCAAGUUAAAAAUUAUGCGAGGCUGGAAAAUACAUCACCUGCUGUAUUUGUUAUAGAAAUUCACAGUCUUGUUUGCUGUUUAUCUUGAGGCUCGGGGAGCUCUCCUGCUGCUUAGGAAAAAAGAGGCGAGGUCUGGGAAGAAAUGCUAGUAAUAAGAAAGGGAGGGAUUAGAAACCCCAGAGAGAAUGGGAGGUGUAAAUAAUAUGUGGGCAUUUGACAAUCAGCACAAAGAAAUGGGAGACAAAGGCAAAUGGCUGAUGCCAGAAAUCCUAAACACUUAAGUGGGAAACUUGGACAAGAGAAAAAUGUCCCAAAGGAAAAGGAAAACAAAAUCCCAGGAGAUCUUUUUCCUCUGUGAUGUUGUCUAAUGGAGUAAAUAAAGAUUGGUUUUGCCACGUUGCUCCUGCGAGCAAUGCUAUAUGCAAAGGCACUGGCUUCCUGAUGGCCUUUGAAGCUCUCUCCAGGCCAGCCUGAGCCUUAGGACCAGAUGGAGGAAUCUUGGGGAACAGUUUUCUCCUCCAGAAAGGAGUUGAGAAUGGGCCAGAAGGAGCCCUUGGCAGGGACAGAGUGAUCCCUCUCUCCAAAGAGUCCAAUCUUUUGGGGUCCUCUGCUCUUCUCUUUUUUUCUCCCAGAACCCUACCUUGAAUGGAAUUGCUUAGGAAAGGAGAAAAGGCAUUUUUUAGCUAAAAGCUAAAGUAGGACCAAGUUAAACUUGCUGGACAAUGGAAAUUUCUUCCUGAGGCUGUCUGCUGAGGUCGAGCGUGACACUUCCUAAUUGCAUGACUUGGGCAGACUGCUUUCUCUACCGUAAGAAGAGGAUUAUAACAACAACAAUAAUAAUAGGUAACAUUUAUAGAACCCUUACAUGGAAUAAUUUCUACCCUGAUCCAUUUUAUCCUCUGAACCUAAUGAGUUAGGAUAGUUACGAUGUCCAUUCUACAGAUGAAUGGAGACUCAGCCAGAUCGCCAGCUAGAAAAUGGUACAGGCAAAAUAUAUUUCUAGGUCAGGGGUUGGCAAUUACAGUCCAAUGGCCAAGUCCGGCUCAACGCCUGUUUUUGUAAAUAAAGUUUUAUUGGAACACAGCCACGAUCAUUUGGUUAUAAUUGCCUCUGACUGCUUUGGAGCUAUGAUGAUAGAGACACUAUGGUCUGCACAGCCCAAAAUAUUUACUCUCCAUUUCUUUACAGAAAAAGUUGGCAGAUGCUUGCACUAAAUCCCCCAGGCCCAAGCUCUUAACCCCAUCUGUGUUCUUCUCCUCCAAAAAUGUCUCAUUUUUUUCUUUAAAUGUGAUGCUGAACAGGAAAAACUAAUCUAACAUGUCAGAAAUAAUAAUAGUGAUUGGAGAAUUUAAUUUGUUAGAGGCCCAAGAAUAUUAAAAACAAGCAAAAACAAACUUUUCUUUCUUUUCCUUUUUUUGUCUCAAAAUUAGAAACUGUUUACAUCCUAAAUUUAAGACAAACAAAAAAACCUUGCAUUGCCUUACCAGCUUUAUUGAAACUGCAUAUAAACGCUUAUCUAAAAACCAAAAUUUCUAGAGUCAUUUCCAAAAUAAUGAAGGAAUGGAAUACAGUUUUCCAGGUGACAUAACAUUUUUUUUCCGUAUGUUAUUUUCAAAACUGCAAGUAGAAUAAGUUGUUAAAGUAAGAAGCUCCCAGUUUUGAAUCUGAUGUUCACCCUAUAAUAGUAAUGUACAAACUCUCGGCGUUUGGAGCUUUGUUUAUAAAUGUAAAAUUUCUGUAACCAAAGGGGAAUGAAAACUAAGGACAGUUGGGGUUGCUAACUCAACAGUUAUUUUCUCUUCUUUCCUACAAAUGGAAGUUGGAGAUCUUGGAAACUGAUCCGUGUUGCCACGUGAACUGUUUCUGGUAUUGUAACACUGGUUUAGUUUGUCAUAGGUCUCCCGGAUUGAUGAGUGUAGCUACAUAUCCAGGUUUUAAAAAACGUUAGUGAACAAAAUUAAUAAUAGUAUCUUCUGUAUCUCGUAUCUGCCGGGCGCUGUGGGCUGGGAGUUCUGAAUACAUAGUGCUGAGGGCCGAUAACUCGACAAGCAGGGGGUUACUAUUUGUAUUUCUAGAUGAGAACAAUGAGAUCCAGGUGCAUAAGGUGUCCAGUUAAUACAUGACUGAUUGACCUCGAAAUCCUGAGCCCCGAUUCCAUACUCUUUCCCCUCUAAGAGGAGGUCUGUCACUGAUUGUUCUUCCUUUCAUUGACCCAAUUCUUACCUACUUUGUUGUCUACCAUGUCUCAGGCACUGCACUCAGCUCUGGGGAUUCAACAGCGAACAAAACAGAUAACUAAGUCAACAAGUUCAUGACCAGGAUAUUUUUGGAGGAUGAGGAGUGCCAAGAGGGAAAUUAAACAGGAUAGAUGGGAUGGCAAGUGUCUAAGUCCGGCGUAGCAAUAUAGGAUGGGGAGGCCAAGGAAAAGACUUGAAUGAGGAAUAAAAGCCACAAGAGAAAGAUCUAGAUAAUAGAAGAAAGUUCCAGACAGAGGAAACAGCAAAGCACAUUCCUUGAGAUGGAAAGAUCUUGGUAUGUUGAGAAGUUAUGUUGAUACUUUCUGGCUCUCGCCAAUUCAGCAGCCAUUAAGACUUGUCUAAGCUUGAAGGUCCUAGGUGCUGUCUUCUAAGGGCUGAGCGUUUACCCUCAGUUCUAAGACAUUUGGCUCCGAUUUCCUAACACUGCUAUCUCCUUCUCCUUAUCAGAGGGGAGCAAGCUGUUCCUCAUUUAUUUGUGACUGGAAACAAGAAGUUACCAAUGACUGAGUACACGCCUUGCACUGUACUAACUGCUUAAUUGCAUUAUCUCAUUGAAUCUGCAAAACCACCCCACUGAAUUACGGUAGAACACUCUUAAUCCAGGUCGAUGCUGUGCUGAGAGUUUUAAGGAAAUUAAUUUCUAGAAUUUACAUGUUUAUACUUACAUUUACUUAUUCCUAAAACUGCCUUGGAAUGCUCCUGUAGGCCUAAACUCAACUGGAACAACCCUUUUCUGCCAUUACAGAGAAGUCUGUGGAGGGUAAGUACAGCAGUAUCUUUAUGGAGCGUUGAAGAGGUAGGCGGUGUGAUAACCUUCAAGGUAACAAACAAAGAGAUUAAUCAGCAUGUUGGUUUGGGGGAAUCCUCCUUUAAUGGUUAAUCAAAGCACCUAGAUGUGGGCAUCCUGUCUUACUGUAUCUUACAUGCAUUUUUUUCUAGGGAGCUUUCAGAACAACCACAGAAGUAUAAUGAUAUUGUUAAUUCUUAUAAAUGUAAUGGGAAUAUUUUCUAGAACCAUCCAGUAUUUCAGGAUACAUAAAAAUGUCCUAGGAUAAAAAUUGUAUACGGUUUCUUUCAGAUUGUGUUGGUGCUGUUCAAUACAUUAGUUACAACUUAUUAAACUUAUUUAAAAAAACAUUUUAUCAAAUCGUAUGAAAUAUGGAUUCCAAUUACAGUCACCAUAGUAUUUUUUUCUUACAAAAUGCUUACUAUUUUCUAUUUCUUAUUAAGAAAAAAUGGACUUAUUUGAAUUCUGGUAAAAAUUUAAGAUGUCAACUUAUAUAAGGGACUGUGUCUUUUUUUUCUCAAAAUUAUGUGAGAAAAAAAUGAGAUCAUUAGUUUAACAGAUCUUGGUAGUUGUCUGCCUAGUAGCAAUUGCUAAUUAUUUUCUUUGCUGAUAAAACUCAACUUACACGCACACCUACACAUACAUAUUUAAUUUUAAUUUUUUCCAACUCCUUUGUGCUUCAGGGAAAGCUGGGACCUCAACAGUCCCAGGGGUGGGAGUUUUGAUUAGUCAAUAUCGGUGCAUCUUAACCCCGGCCACAGAUCAGAUCAUCUUCCGAGCUUUUACAAAUUGUCAAUGCUUGAAAGAAAAAAAGAAAAAAAAGACUGAGGGACCAGCCCUGUGGCCGAGCUGUUGAGCUCGAGCGCUCCACUGAGGCGGCGUCCCACAUGCCACAACUGGAAGGACCUACGACUAAAAUAUACAGUUAUGUACUGAGGGCCUUUGGGGAGAAAAAGCAGAAAGAAAAAAAAAGAUUGGCAACAGUUGUUAGCUCAGGUGCCAAUCUUUAAAAAAAAAAAAAUUGUCAAUGCCUGGGUCCCACCCCCAGCUAUUGUGAUUAAAUGGGUCUAAGCAGGGAAGAUAAUUUUAUUUCUGUUGCUAAUAACUGGUUGAGGAAUUGAUAUGUGACAUAACUCUGACCCUUAGAGGUGAAGUAAGUGGGCUGGGGUAUGUCUCUGGGAGGGUUAUCGUUGCUCUCGAAACAAGGAAAGGAAUGUUCUCUUCCAAUUUUCAGAUUUUUUUUUUUAGGUGAAUAUGUGUUUCCUUGUGCUGUGGCAGCCAUUUUGUGGCUAUGAGAGGCAAACCUGAAGUUCAAAGUCAAUACACUGAGGUGGGCAGAACAAGAUCAAAAGAACCUAGGACUAGAACAAUGGAGUUAACUAACCCUGGAACUGCCCUAUCAAGGAGGACAUUUAUGCCAUUUUUAGAUGGGUUCUCUGUUUCCUGAAGCUCUAAGCUCCUAUUUUACAAAAUAAGGAAACUGGAGCACAGAGAGGUUAAGCUAUCCGUCUACAGUCACACAGCUGGUAAGUUGCAAAGCCAGGGUUUGAAUGUGUCUGAUUCCAACUUCUGUGCUUUCAAUGACUAUGAUACAGAAUAGGGUUGGCAAACUAUGGCUUGUGGACCAAACCCCACCCACCACCCGUUUUUGUAAAUAAGGUUUUACUGGAACACAGCCAGACCCGGUUUGCGUAGGCAUCAUCUGUGGCUGCUCUUGCACUACAACAGAGUUUAGUGUUGUAAGAGACACUGUGAGUAGAAGGCCUGAAAUAGUUACUGUGUGGCUCUUUACGGAAAAAGUUUGCCGACCUCUGCUGGUCUAAGCCAAUCGUGGUAAUCCUAUCUUUCUUUAUCUGUGAUUGUCCGCUGGUGACAAUAUAAAUGGGUUUUGGCCAAUGAGAUUUAGGCAGAGUUCUGCUGAGGAGAUGCUUCUGAGAAAGGCAUUUCCCCUUUCAAAAGAGGUAGGAAGGAAGGUGGCCACCUCCCUUCUUCCCGCCUCUGGAGCAGGAAAGAUGAUGAGAGCUGAGCAGCCAUCUUAAAACCACAAGAGGGAGGAUCAAUAAUGGUAGAUGGCGGAGAGGAGCAUGCAGAGGCUCAGGGUUCACGACGCCGUUACCGCUCCCAUCCAGGGCUCUGACUCCCCACCUCCAGACUUCGUGUUGUGUUAGAUGAUAAAUAGUUUAAGUCACUUUUACAGCCUAUUCCAUUACCAGCAGCUGAGCUUAUCCUGUAUGGUCCAAACCCUAGGUCUGGAAUCACCAUCCUUAUUUUGCACUUAAGGAACCCCGAAUUCGGGGAGAUACAAGGACUCAUCUGAGGCGGUGUGCAGUGACGACCCCUGUUCCAUUACCCCUUGAUAGUAACAAACGAACUCAGCACUUGGGGCUUUGUUAUAUAUGCAAACAUUCUGUCACCAAAGGAGAAUGAACACGAAGGGCACUGCGGUUCCUAGCCAACAGUCAUUUCCUCUUUUUCCUACUAACAGAACCCGCCUUUCAUUGGGGCAGCAGCGCACCCGGCUCCAAGGGAGGAAGGAUAUUUGUUCUCAGCCAAUCACGGAAUUCUUUUAUCUCUUUGGGGGAAGUUUGACCUCUAGAUUUCUGAUUCCAGGGGGCGUCUGGGGUGGGGUGCGGCAGUCUGCGGGUGAUGCAGGUGCCUCCGCUCCGUAAAGCACACUUUGACUAACGCUAUUCUAUACCAAAGGUCAUAAACCCUCUCUGUAAAUGGCCAGAUAGUAAAUAUUUUAGGUUUUAUAGUCCAUAUAGUGUCUGUUGCACUAUUGAACUUUGCUGUAGCAGUGGCUCAGAAGCAGCCCCAGAGACACACAAAUUAGUGGGCAUGGCUGUGUUCCAAUAAAGCUUUAUUUACAAAAGCAGAUGGUGGGCCAUAUUUCACCUGUGGGCCAUAGUUUGCUGACCCCUUGCUUGACUAGUCCUGGUUCGUCUCCUGGUCCUGGGCCCAUCUUCUCCGAAUACAUUGCUGACUAAAAGCCAAACCAAUAGGGUUCUCUUGGGAAGGAAGACAUGGGUGAUGGCUUUUGGGUACGAGGUAAACUGUUGUGAUCUAAGCCAAUUUGGAGUGGAACAAUUCUUCGGUUAUUUUUGGCAGAGGUGAGAGUUAGCUGGCCCCUCACCGCUUACCUACAGGUCAUCAUAAAAAUCUAGUCUCUGUCCAAAUUCUGCUACUCUGAUAGCCAAACACUCAUUAGCAAAGCAAGCACGAGACAGUUCACGUUAACAGAUAAGAGGUUUGUUACUGUUAUUAAAUAAAUUAACAAACAAACAAACAUUUCAAAAAUUUCUCAUUUAAUUUCAAACAGGUAAGUAUAGAUAGAUCUAACUCUCAUAAAUAAAAGAUCUUUGGGGUCAUUGCAAAUUUUGAAGAGUGUACAAGGGUCCUGAGACCAAAACACUCAAGAACUGCUGACUUAGGUCAAUGUCAUACCUCCCUGCCUGGAGGUUUCACAGGAGGGAGACUAUUUCCUGUGAUUUCCUACAAAGCAAGAAAACAAUCGUGGUUAAGAAGGCAGGCUUGGGAUUCUGAAGGCUCGAGUUUAAAACUUUAUUCUAGAACUUGCAAAGUGGAUGAUAUGGGACCAGUCACUUAAAUCUUGGAGCUUCAGUUUCCUCAUCUGCAGAAUGGGGAUAAUGAGACCCACCUUUUCGGGGAGUCAUAAAGAUUAAAGUGGUGCUCGCUGAUCGUGAUCGAUGUACAGGCUUGUUUUGUGGAGGAGAGAAGUGGACCAGAGAGCACCUCUCAGGGGUCAGGAGUGGGCCUGAGACUCUGCAUUUCUCACAGGCCCCCAGGGCAUGCUGAUGCUGCUGGUUCCCCCACCACUCGGGAGACACCCUGGUCCCAAGCACAUCCCUUCAGAAGAACCCUGCAGUUCUCCUCAUCCAUUUUCAAAGUCCGGAUACUGAAACAUCAGCUUCUUUCUUUUCCGUUUUCGUUGCUUUUGUUGCAUUUUGACUCACUGUUUUUCCUAAUCUGGGUUACUCUGUCCUAACUGGUUUCCCCACCUUCGCUCUUCAUUUAGUGGAGAUGAACUGAGCACCUGCUACGUGCUGGGCCCUGUUCUGAGCCUUGGCCCUCAAGGUUCUGGGACCACCUUGAGCUUUCUCUAAAGUGUAAUCUGCUUCAACCCCUCAGGAGCUUCCCAGUGCUGUCAGGAUCAAGUCCAAGCUUGGGUGUUUCAGCACGGCUAAAAUCCCCCGCCGGACCUGGCCCCCUGGAGGCUCACCAGGAGCAACGGUCCCUCUUCUGUGGGCGUGGUUUCGAGGCUCAGAUGAAGUAACGCCUGUCACGCUGUUCCUUGGUCCUUGACAUGGAGGAGGGGAUCAACACGUGGGAGCUCUGUCGCUAAGACCUGGGAUCUGCUGGGAAUCAGGGAGGCCAACUAACUCAGCUACCCAGUGGUUCUCAACCGGGGAUGGGGGAGGAUUUUGCCCCCAGGCGCACUGGCAAUAUCUGGAGACGUUUUUGGUUGUCACAAUGUGGGGAGAGUGCUACUGGCAUCUAGUGGGUGGAGGUCAGGGAUGCUGCUAAAUACCCUGCAAUGCACAGGUCAGCCUCCUCCAUCCCCACCCCACCCCCACCCUCCCAUGACAGAGAAUUAUCUGGACCAAAACGUCACUAGGGCUGAGGUCAAGAAACACUGGAUGAGGCCACCCGGAAGAAGCUUCCCUCUUCUAUGCUCCAGAUCAAAUCCAUCGCCACUUCAGUUUCUCUGCAUGCCACUGUCUCUUGCUUGAGUGUACUAAAGUGGCCUAGUCUUUUCUCCAGGAGCACGCUUCCUACAGAUCUUCAACGGCUGGUUCCUCGUUCAAACGUCCCUCCCCAGGAAGCCUUCUCUGACCACCCACUGCAAGGCUGCUCCCGCCCUCCCUGGUUCUCCUCCUGUAGGCAGCCUAUUCGUUUCCUUCUAAUAUCUAUCACCAUCAGAUGGGACAUUUAUUUUCUUAGUUGAUCAGUUGAUUGUCUCCUGCACUCGAAUGUGAGCACCAUGAAGAGGAAGAGUCAGGUCUGUCUUGAUCAGGGGUUUGUAAACUACCACCUGUGGGCCAGAUUUGGCCCUUUGCCUCUUUUUGUAAAUAAAGCUUUAUUGGAACAAGCUAUGCCCGUUCUCUCAUGUAUUGUUGCUUGUGGUUGCUUUUGCUCUCCAACAGCAAACUUGAGUAGUUGUGAUAGACACUGAGCAGCCCGCAAAGCCAAGAUAGUCACCCUUUUCAGAAAAUGUGUGCCAACCCUGGUUGUGGUUAUUUGUCUAGUGCAGUGCCUGGCACAUAGUGGGCACUCAGCAAAUACUGAUCGAGUGUUUACUCAGUACCCUUAAUCCCACCUAAUCCUGCUUAGCACUCCAUGAGGUAGAUUCUAAUAAGGGUCCACAAACCUGAAACUUCCGAAGCCAUACUUUUAAAAACCAAAUUUGGCAGCAAAACCUGAUCUGAUCUGACCUGUUUGGCUGCAGAAUAUGCCUUGAACAAAUGCGAGGCUGUCGAUUGCCUAUAUUUCUCUCACUAAUUUGACCUUUGUGUGUUUCUCUGCAGACGUGUCGAUGAGGCAGAUUGAGGUGCUGCCCCAGGCCUCGCAGGCAAUGCUGUGUCCCAUACGGUAUAAGCAUCGCAUCACAUUUCUAAAAUCUCAAAAUUCUGAAUUCCAAAGCAUAUUCCACUAUAAGGGUUUGGACAAGAGAUUUGGAUGUGUAGUUUUCUUUAUUUUAAAGCUGAGGAAUGGAGAGACCAAACCAAAUAACAAUGCUUGUGAAUGGCAGGACCCAGAUUUGAAUCUCGGAUCUGAUCCCUGAGUUGUGGCUGUACCCGCUAGGCUCUCUCAGGAGAGGCGGGCUGGUGCUUGUUCACUGGAUGAAUUAAGGGGUUGACGAAGCUGGCUGGGCCUUGUUCUCACCCCUGGGCUGGUUUGCCCGCUACUCGGGAGGUUCCUGCCUUUCCUCUGUCAGAACAUCUUUCCAGGCCAAGUAUUGCAGCUGUAAAUGUGCAUGCAAAACACACAUGCACGCACACACACACUCACACACAUGUGCACACACACGUACAACUCAAAAAAGGAGCUACAUACUAUUAUAGUUUCUGCAGAUUUGUGGUCACUGUUGUUCUGAGCAAUCUCAUCUUUAUGAAUCAGGUGACAAAACCCACUAGUAACCAGGCAGGGGAAAGAAAACAGAUGCUUUUCCAGUCAGGCAGGAUGGAGCUGAGCAGUUGUCACUGUGGUUAAACCUCUGCCUCCAGGAAGACACAGCCCCUUGUAAAAAAUUAUUGCUGUUCUCUCUCUGGUUUUGGGAGCUGCC